rnacentral:rRNA from 1 species
AUAAUACUCCAUAGAUUAGAGACACUGGAAUGUUCUUUAGUCGAAAGUUCUGGCGCCUUAGGAUGGAUCUGCGGUCGAUUAGGUUGUUGUUGGGGUAACGGCCCAACAAGCCUGUAAUCGAUACGGGUUGUGGGAGCAAUAGCCCGGAGAUGGAAUCUGAGACAAGAUUCCAGGCCCUACGGGGCGCAGCAGGCGCGAAAACUUUACAAUGCAGGAAACUGUGAUAAGGGAACCCCGAGUGCCCGUAUACGCGGGCUGUCCAGGUGUUUAAAAGUCAUCUGAAGAAAGGGCCGGGCAAGACCGGUGCCAGCCGCCGCGGUAAUACCGGCGGCUCGAGUGGUGGCCACUAUUAUUGGGCUUAAAGCGUCCGUAGCUGGACUGAUAAGUCUCUUGGGAAAUCCGCCGGCUCAACCGGCGGGCGUCUAAGGGAUACUGUUGGUCUAGGGACCGGGAGAGGUGAGAGGUACUCCGGGGGUAGGAGUGAAAUCCUGUAAUCCCCGGGGGACCACCGAUGGCGAAGGCAUCUCACCAGAACGGCUCCGACAGUGAGGGACGAAAGCUGGGGGAGCAAAGCGGAUUAAAUACCCGGGUAGUCCAGCCGUAAACUAUGCGCGUUAGGUGU